UAUCUACUUCAUAUUUGUUGACACAUCUGGCUUUGAGACUUUUGAUGUGAAGGUGAAGACCCUAUUCACCAACCUUGUUCAGUGAUAGCAUCUAGCGAUUUCUUUAUUUGUGAAAAUAAAAUAGAUUUAGAUAGCAGUCAGCAGUUGCUCUCCCUUCGGAUCCGUCCCCCACCUUGAUUUUGCUUUGUAUUUAUUUUCUGGUUUCCCUACGGAUCCACGCUCAGAUAUGUGAAAGUACUCUGCUCCUCCCUCUGUAUCUACCCCACCACUUGAUUUUGUGUUGGAUUUCUAAAGCAAAGUUUUUUUUGGUCCCAUCCUUUUAUGCCUGUGAUGAAUCUUUGGACAUCUUUUUGAGUAAGGAAAGAUAUAAGCUGAUGAUCAGUUCUAGUGAGGUACUAAGUCUAUCAUUCUUUCCUGCUGAUCCAUUUAUUGUCAGCUACUUAGUGCCCUUUAGUUUACCACAAUGGUAUGCACACGCCUUCCCUAUCCUCCGCUUGUGGCUACUCUAAGAUUCGUGCUAGCCAACACCUCCUCAGAUCCCUAGAUGCUCCUAGAACAUGAUCAAGUGAUGAACUAUAGUAUUCUGAGGCCUAACAAAUUUAUAAGUUUAUGUUCUUGCCAACCUCUGUUAUUAUAAGCUUGUGUUGGACUGUUGGUGCUCAAUUUCUCAAUGUUUUAUUCUCUCUUGACUGCUUGCAAUCUUGCCAAAUAGAUUUGGUUUCUACUUUCUAGAUCCAUUACAUGUGGUUGUCACUUCUAUUUAAAAAGUAAUGUUUUAGAAGAAAUCAUACACCCUUUUCUCUUCUAUACAUACAACUGUGUGAUCUUAUUUUAGUUUAGACAUUUUUGUUUCUGGGUAACAUCACGUGGAGGUCUCUGGUUUCUUUUCUUUUUUAUAUAACCAUGUGUCCUUCUUUUAGUUUAGUCUUUUUUUUGUUUGUUUCCGGAUACCAUUAUAUUGCUAUUAUUUAACUUCUCUACUGUGAUUUUAGUAGUAUCCUUUUAUUUUACUUUAGGUUGAAAUUUCUUAUAACCCAGAUAUGUUUUGCUUUAGUUUUUUUGCUUUUUAUAUAUUUCUUAAUCCUUUUUUUGGAUGUCAUUACAUGUUACCUAAUCUCCCAACAUUGAGUAAUUGUAGCAUGGUCCUAAUAUUCCCAUAGACCAUAUGUGUUUUAAGUCAAGAGAUGUCACUUUUUUGUCCUUGGCAUCCCAGAGCACCCGAUAUCCACACAUACACCAUAAAUCUGUCCCCCACAUUGAUUUUGCUUUUAUUUUUGUUAUGCUUUUCCUAUGGAUCCACCCUCAACUCUUGAUUUUGUGAAAGUACUCUGUUCCUCCCUUCGUAUCUAUGGUAAAGUUUUUUUUGUUCGCAUCCUUUUAUGCCUGUGAUGAAUCUAUGCACAUCUUUUUUAGUGAGGAAAGAUAUAAGCUGAUGAUCAGUUCUAGUGAGGUACUAGGCAUUCUAUCAUUCCUUCUGUUGAUCCAUUUAUUGGUACUUAGUGCCCUUUAGUUUACCACAACGGUAUACGCGUGCCUUCCCUAUCCUCCGAUUGUGGCUACUCCAAGAUUCGUGCUGGUCAACACCUCCCUAGAUCCUAGAUGCUCCUAGAACAUGAUCAAGUGAUGAAAUAUAGUAUUCUGAGGCCUAACAAAUUUAUAAGUUUUUGUUCUUGCGAACCUCUUUUAUUAUAAGCUUGUGUUGGCACUUAACUUCUCAAUGUUUUAUUAUCUCCUGACUGUUUGCAUGAACUGCAUGGUGUCUUUUUUUAUCGCAAUCCUUAUAAAAAUAUCAUCUGAAUGCGGGCUUAGUGAAACUAUUUGACACUAGUCAUAAUUUUUUGUUUUAUUCAGAUGUAGUUUUAAUUGAAGCAAUUUAAUCCUAAUCACCUAAUGUGAUAAUGUGAAGUCUUCAUAGUCCUUUGCUCUUAUACCCACCUUAUGUUUUCAUUUUAUUACUUUAGAGUUGUAUUAGUAAUAGCCCUUUGGUUUAACGAUCUUCACUUCACUUAAUUUUGAAAGUCAAAUUGCUUCUCGAAAUAGAAUAUCAGUUGAUCUAAUCACUUUUAAUUGGUUUUUCAUCCCAAAACAUCCUCGAGUUUGAUUUUCCUGCUUUUUGCUUACAUGAGUUUCUUGAUGGCUUUUCUUAAAUCAUUCAUGAGGGAUUUUCUUUUUGUUGCUAUAUACUGCACUAGUGUAUGUGAGUUUCAUGUUGAUAGCCUUCCAGAUCGCAUACAAGUGAAAUAACGAACUGGUGCUAGCUACUUGGUAUUGGUGUUUUAAAUUUUAAAUAUAAUUACGUUCAGUAGAAGAUAAGUACUUGAAAAAUAUAUAUAGUUAGCUUGUCUGAUAUUGAUCAAUGAUGAUUAGAUUGUUGCAUACAAUUUGACUUGGAUUACCUCAUAUACUUUCCAUGCUUAUUCAUGUAUGUACAUGUCGUCUUUUUAUGUACACAAAUGCAACUUGUAGGCCUCUCCAAGAUGGCGUUUCGAGUGAAGGUGAAGAUCUCUCAUUGGACUCGACUCGGAUGAUAACGAAGAUGAAGACAUCUCUAUUGAAGUGGAUUUCAGUCAGGAAUUCUGAGGGAGCUGCUUCCACUGGCCUUCAAGUUGCUUGAUUACCUUGAGAAUUGGAAACAGUCUACAUGUUCAAUGAAUUAUUUAGCUUGAAAUAAAAGCUUUACAUAUGUAUCAUCAAUGACAUUCUUCGUGUGCAUAUCAUCCUUUUCUGAAGGAAAGAUAUUAAAAAAUGAUUUUAUCUUUUGCCUA